rnacentral:rRNA from 1 species
CGGGGUAGAGUAACGCGUGAGGAACCUGCCUCAAAGAGGGGGACAACAGUUGGAAACGACUGCUAAUACCGCAUAAGCCCACAGCUCGGCAUCGAGCAGAGGGAAAAGGAGUGAUCCGCUUUGAGAUGGCCUCGCGUCCGAUUAGCUAGUUGGUGAGGUAACGGCUCACCAAGGCAACGAUACAUAGGGGGACUGAGAGGUUAACCCCCCACACUGGUACUGAGACACGGACCAG